UGGAGAAGCUGGUCUAAUCCGGCGUCUUCACUUAUAAAGAGCCCGGCCCUUUGGCCGGGCUUUUUAUUUCUGCAUC
rnacentral:sRNA from 1 species